rnacentral:rRNA from 1 species
CUCCUCGCGGAGGAGUGCGAGGUCUGGCCUGCCCACUGACGUGGUUUAAAGGCCGCGGUAUACUAACCGUGCGAAGGUAGCAUAGUCAAUAGUCUCUUAAUUGGAGGCUGGAAUGAACGGUCGGACAUGAAGGAAGCUGUCUCGGUGCGGAGAACGUGAAAUUAACUUUUGUGUGAAAAGGCAUUAAUGGGUUAGGGGGACGAUAAGACCCUAUAAAACUUGAUGGGUGAGCGUCCGGGCCGGGAGUUGAGUGUAAGGGGGGCCGGGCGGUGUCCAUUUUGCUGGGGCGGCAGGAAUGUAAUCAGUAACCGUUCCUCAGGCGGAAUGGUAAUAGCUAGAUUUUGACCCCGGAUUUCGGGUUAAGAGAGUAAGUUACUUUAGGGAUAACAGCGUUAUUUCUCUUGAGAGUUCAUAUCGACAGAGAUAUUUGCGACCUCGAUGUUGAAUUAAAGCUUUUUCCGGGAGUAGGAGUUCGGAGAGAUGGGUC